rnacentral:ncRNA from 1 species
AAAAGUUUUGGUCCUAAACUUACUAUUAUUUUUGACCAAAAUUAUACAUGCAAGUAUCUGCACACCAGUGAAAAUGCCCACUUAAAUAUUGGAGCAGGUAUCAGGCACGAAACUUCAGCCCAAGACACCUUGUUUUACCACACCCCCACGGGUAAUCAGCAGUAAUAAAAAUUAAGCUAUGAGCGACUAGUAUUUUACUUAAGCUAGACUUAGUUAUGGUCAUUUAGGGCUGGUCAACCUCGUGCCAGCCACCGCGGUUAUACGAAGAGCCCAAAAUAAUAGACUACGGCGUAAAUAGUGACUAAAAUAUUAACUAAAAAUAAGAAACAAACAUAAAUCCUAACCGUAAAACAAAGGAUUGAUGAAGACCAACUUCUUUAAAUAAGGUUAUUUGAUUCACGAAAGCUGGGAAACAAACUAGGAUUAGAUACCCUACUAUGCCUAGCUGUAAAUUACACCCUAUAACUUAUAGUGUUCGCCAGAAUAUUACGGAUGAAAAGCCUAAAACUCAAAAGACUUGGCGGUGCUUCAUACACGAUUUAGAGGAGCCUGUCCUAUAAUCGAUACCCCACGAUAAACCCAACCGCCCCUUGCCAAACCAGCCUAUAUACCGCCGUCCUCAACUUACACUGUGAAGUUAAAAUAGUAAGUACAAAAGUUUAACACAAAAAAGUCAGGUCAAAGUGUAGCCUAUGCGGCGGAAGAGAUGGGCUACAUUUUUUAAAACAAAACACACGAAAGACACUUUGAAACAGCUGUCUAAAGGAGGAUUUAAUAGUAAAAUAAACAAGAAAGUUUAUUUUAAACACGCCCUGAAGCACGCACACACCGCCCGUCACCCUCCUCAACAACUUAAAACAAUUUAUAAUUAAAGAAACUAAAAAGAUGAGGUAAGUCGUAACAUGGUAAGCGUACUGGAAAGUGUGCUUGGAUAAA